rnacentral:rRNA from 1 species
GGGCGUUUGAGAAUUGAGAGGAGCUGCUCCUAGUACGAGAGGACCGGAGUGGACGUACCUCUGGUGUUCCGGUUGUCACGCCAGUGGCAUUGCCGGGUAGCUAUGUACGGAAGGGAUAACCGCUGAAAGCAUCUAAGCGGGAAGCCCACCCCAAGAUUAGGUUUCCCGGAUCUUCGGAUCCCUGAAGGGCCCUUGAAGACUACAAGGUUGAUAGGCUGGGUGUGGAAGCGCGGCAACGCGUGAAGCUAACCAGUACUAAUUGCCCGUGCGGCUUAAACC